CAUCUUAUCAGUGCAAGUAGAUUGCUGUGUUCGCUGAUCAUCACGACAUACCGUCGCAGCGUCGAUCUCCUACAACCCAUCGGUUGAUGCUGUGUGUCUGCACGAAUUGGUUCAUGAGAUUGUUUUCAUUUCAAGCUAGUUUAUGAUGCACAUUUUUCUACCAUUCAUUUGUUUGGACACCUGCCGUGGAGGGUCCCGUGGUUGAAAUGUGCCCUAUUGCGGGGCUGUGAUUAGGGCGAGUAAGUGAAGCGGUGCGUUGGUUGGGUUUUAUCACCUGAUAACGCCCAACCGUUUAUCACCCUAGCGGCAGCGGAGAUGGGGUGACACUUUCGGACAUUUUUUAGCUUAAAAAUAGUAAUGAUGUAAAAUCAAGUAUGUUUAUGCUUGUUUCCGGCGAUAAAUGGGUGCAAUUUACUACGAAUUUUGUUCAUGGUUUAGAAAUGAAUAAAACAAACUAACAAACCCAUCCCAUCGGAACGAUUUAAUGACAUUUCUCCUCCGUACGGCCCGCAGCAGCACGGUCCGGUCCGGUAGCGGCUACGCAAUGGGGGUAAACUGUCGUUGUUUUGCAAGGUUGCCUUGCCUUGUUUGCCAGUAGUAGCACCCCGGUCUACUACUAGCUCACAGCUCACACCUCUGGCCCACUCGCAGCGAGCAUUGCAUUGGAAGGGGGAAUAUAUCGUUUGACGUUUAAUUUCAGUGUGCGCAGUGUGCCCCAGUGUGUGCGGGAACGACGACGUGCGCGGUCGAACGUGAGGCUGCGACGUCAUAGGCGGGCCUACCCACCCCGAUCUCUCGUGCCGGUUCGCUCCAACAAGAACGAUGGGGCUAAGAAUCGCACGGUCAACACCAUCAACACCAUAUUGGUGCGCCGUUGGUCAGUUAUGUGGGGAGGGGGUUGGUUAUUUUGGGUUGAGAGCGGACCGAAGGGGUGCGGUGCUCGGUAUGGGGCGUUGUGUAGUAAAUCUCGUAGCAUCAUCGAAAUAUGGUGUGAAGAAUGAGACGAUGAAGAGUGUGGCCGCUACCAUUGCUCCAUUAGGGGAUGAAAAAGAAAUUGUAAAGGAGAACGCAGGGAAAAGAUGUGGCAUUGACGGAUGGAGCAUUUUCUUCUCCCUUUGCUAUUAGUUAAGCAAGCGGUAAUGCUAAAUUUGGCAAUUUGCGCAUGAAUGGGCAUUACACGCCAUCCGAAGUUGCACGCCAAAGAAAUGGAAAGGAGUCGGUACGGACCAGAUCUAGCUAGAAUUACCCUAAACGGUACACGGUACGGCACAGUACAGUGAUUGCAGUACGAAUGGUGUUGGGCGCAAGUUCGAUGAAGAUGGGGGCGUGAUCGAUUCAACUGUUGGCAUCACUUAUUCUGUUAUGUCGUCGAUUGUUUUGAGCAUGAAGAUGUUGUUUUUUUUAAUGAUUCCUGGAACUAAUUUCUUGACUUGUGCAACAGCUUUUCUGCGUAAAAAUAAAGUAAAAUAAAACGAAAACAAUCAAUACUGUCCACGGUGCGAGCACUGUAGACUGAUAGUUGGUUGAGUAGGCACAAAACGAGAAGAAAAAAAAACCCAAGGACUACCAUAGCCUAGGCACCGGCACAGCACCGUCUCGUGUUUAUGCUUCCCCCCCAAUACGUUCGACUGCUGCCGUCCGUCUCUGUAUGGAUGGGCAUGGGGUCGUAGUUUGUUUAUGU